rnacentral:rRNA from 1 species
CCUACGGGCGGCUGCAGUGGGGAAUAUUGGACAAUGGGCGCAAGCCUGAUCCAGCCACGCCGCGUGAGUGAUGAAGGCCUUCGGGUCGUAAAGCUCUGUGGGGAGGGACGAACCGCUGUCGGUUAAUACCCGGCAGCAUGACGGUACCUCCUUAGCAAGCACCGGCUAACUUCGUGCCAUCAGCCGCGGUAACACGAAGGGGGCAAACGUUGGUCGGAAUUGUUGGUAGUCGAGCGCGCAUAGUCGGCUUGAAAGCCCUCGGCUUAACCAAGGAAGUGCAUCCAAAACUGCUGAGCUUGAGUAGUUAAGAGGAUCGCGGAAUUCCCGGUGUAGAGGUGAAAUUCGUAGAGAUCGGGAGGAACACCAGUGGCGAAGGCGGCGAUCUGGGAACAUACUGACGCUGAGGUGCGAAAGCGUGGGGAGCAAACAGGAUUAGAUACCCCUGUAGUC